rnacentral:rRNA from 1 species
AAUGGGCGCAAGCCUGAUCCAGCAAUGCCGCGUGUGUGAAGAAGGCCUUCGGGUUGUAAAGCACUUUUGUCCGGAAAGAAAACCUCGUGGUUAAUACCCGUGGGGGAUGACGGUACCGGAAGAAUAAGCACCGGCUAACUACGUGCCAGCAGCCGCGGUAAUACGUAGGGUGCAAGCGUUAAUCGGAAUUACUGGGCGUAAAGCGUGCGCAGGCGGUUCGCUAAGACAGAUGUGAAAUCCCCGGGCUUAACCUGGGAACUGCAUUUGUGACUGGCGGGCUAGAGUAUGGCAGAGGGGGGUAGAAUUCCACGUGUAGCAGUGAAAUGCGUAGAGAUGUGGAGGAAUACCGAUGGCGAAGGCAGCCCCCUGGGCCAAUACUGACGCUCAUGCACGAAAGCGUGGGGAGCAAACAGGAUU